CUAAGUUCAGGAUCAUCAAAUUCAACAACCAUAACAUCUUCUGAUUGGUCUGUACCCAACUUGUGAUAGUACAAUCUUUGAAAUUCAUGCACAUUAGUCUCAGAACCAUCAGCUUUCUCAUCUUUAUCAAGGAGUUUGGUUACCUGUAUCCACACUACGAAAUUUGAUCUCGGUCCAAUCCGAGCCACUAGCACUCAACCCAUAAGCAAAAACUUUGCCAUUAUUUGAAAACUUAGCUGCUGUCAGUGCAAUUGUGCCAUCAUCAGACAACAAAUUUGGAUCUAAGAAGACUUUGGGUUCUGGAUUAUCAGCAUUCCAUUGAUACAUAAUACUCUGAUUUUGAAGGCCAGUAUUUUUGUAUUGAUAGUAAUAAUCUCCUUCUCUAUAUGGAGCUGAACACUUUGGAUAAUCCCAGAGUUUAGUCAACUGCUUCUGGAUAUUCUCCUUGAAUUCAUACUUAUUAAUGAAUGGCUCUGUUAUCUCAUUCUGGGCAUUGACAAAUUGCUUAGUCUCUUCUGAAUCUGGAUCUUCCAGCCAUCUAUAGGGCUCUAGAAUCUAAAUAGCUGAGAUUUAAAAUCACAAUUAAAUGUGGUGUUAAGGUAAAAAUUACCUGCACUCCAUGAUAAUCUUCCACUAGUUUUUCGCGUCUGGCUUCCGGAUAUUUAAAUACCAUCUUUCUAGUUUGCUCGGUCAUUUUGGACCGCAGAAAAAUAGUGUUUUUAAAUGUAUGGAGUCGUGAAAGAUUGCGUAAAACUGCGAUAUUUCUGAGUGUGAUCAACAUUAUAAGGAAAAACCCUAAACGUAAUUACUGAUUAAGUAAUGUUUGAUAAAAUUCCUCAACUUUGAAAUCACAUGAAAUCUAAUUUCAAUAAUAUAGGCGACAAUCUGAUGAAACCAUACUGGAGCGCACCGGUAUCGACAGGUGCUUUUAUCAUGAUUUAAUGAGCAGCGAAGCAGCUGGAGAUAAUUGGGCGAAAUUCAGCGUUGGCUGGUAGGGGAACUAGCACCUACUUUACAUAGCGAUAGGUUGAAGCACAAUAUCAAAUCUAACAUGUUUAUAUUGAUAAUUGACUUGUUAUCGUUUUCUACACUGCGCGCUUAUCAGUUUUGUUUAUGAAUAACGAUUUUAUGUUUUGGGACAUUGGUUUUUGUUAUAUGUUUCAGGGGUCUAGGCACUGAAUGGGACGUUGUAGGAGAACUAUGCUUGCAACAAUUUGUAAGCAUUGACAUUCUUUAUUAUUUCCAUGGCUUAGUUUUGUAAUUUUAUUCGCGGAUGCCAUAAAAUUGUAUUUUUUGUGUUUCCAGGCACUAAUUUUUGUUUCAGUGCCUAGGAUUUAGGGCUCUACCGCAGGCGGCGAUUUGAUAGGUUAACAACACUAGCAUCAGAUCGAAAAUAAUAAAAUAAAUAAAGUUGGCAAGCAAUAUAAA